AGAACGUGGCAGAGGAGACAUCGUGAUGAGGAAGACUGUUCCUCCAGGAUGCGGCUCAGCUCUUGUGCUCUGGGUGUGCUGACAUGGCAAUUUUCCAAAACGUGAGAAAUCUGGCUGCCUAAUACCUGGUAGCGGGGCACUAUCCUUGUAUUCCUCCUUG